rnacentral:rRNA from 1 species
AACGAACGCUGGCGGCAUGCCUAACACAUGCAAGUCGAACGAGACCUUCGGGUCUAGUGGCGCACGGGUGCGUAACGCGUGGGAACCUGCCCUUAGGUUCGGAAUAACUCCCCGAAAGGGGUGCUAAUACCGGAUAAUGUCUUCGGACCAAAGAUUUAUCGCCGUUGGAUGGUCCCGCGUUGGAUUAGCUAGUUGGUAGGGUAAUAGCCUACCAAGGCGACGAUCCAUAGCUGGUCUGAGAGGAUGAUCAGCCACACUGGGACUGAGAAACGGCCCAGAAUCCUACGGGAGGCAGCAGUGGGGAAUAGUGGACAAUGGGCGAAAGCCUGAUCCAGCAAUGCCGCGUGAGUGAUGAAGGCAUGAGGGUUGUAAAGCGCUUUUAACCGGGAUGAUAAUGACAGUACCGGGAGAAUAAGCUACGGCUAACUCCGUG